GCAAGUCGAACGGUAACAGGCUGUAUGGGAUCCCUUCGGAGUGAACUUGGCGCUGACGAGUGGCGGACGGGUGAGUAAUGCAUAGGAAUCUACCCAGUAGUGGGGGAUAACGUGGAGAAAUCCACGCUAAUACCGCAUAUGUUCCACGGAACAAAGCAGGGGACCUUCGGGCCUUGCGCUAUUGGAUGAGCCUAUGUUGGAUUAGCUUGUUGGUGAGGUAAAAGCUCACCAAGGCGACGAUCCAUAGCUGGUCUGAGAGGAUGAUC
rnacentral:rRNA from 1 species